rnacentral:rRNA from 1 species
GUGCCAGCCGCGCGGUAAUACCGGCAGCCCGAGUGAUGGCCGAUCUUAUUGGGCCUAAAGCGUCCGUAGCUGGCCAUGCAAGCCCACUGGGAAAUCCACCCGCCCAACGGGUGGCCGUCCGGUGGAACCUGUGUGGCUUGGGACCGGAAGGCGCGACGGGUACGUCCGGGGUAGGAGUGAAAUCCCGUAAUCCUGGACGGACCGCCGAUGGCGAAAGCACGUCGCGAGGACGGAUCCGACAGUGAGGGACGAAAGCCAGGGUCUCGAACCGGAUUAGAAACCCGAGUAGUCC